ensembl:lncRNA
AGCUUUUCCCCCUUUUUUUCUGUGUCUUUAGCUGCUGCAUUUGGGCUCUUGUCCUCAUUUGCUGCAGCCAUAGACCUUGCCACCCUGCUAUUAUCACUGUACUUUCCAUCACAUUAUAGUGUUACAAGUAUAGUUUCUAAUGCUUUGCCUGGUACCAUUACUUAUGUGGCUAAAGGAAGAUCAAACAGGGCAAGUCCUGCAGUUCUGAUAAUCACUUGUCUUUUUGUGUAUUGCUAUUGUGAAUUGAAAUGACAUCUGAUGGUACUGUGAGGUGAAACACAAUAGAUUGCAGUGAAGAGAGUGGCAAUAGGAGUUACAGUGCUGCGCUUUUGGGGACAAAAAAAUCUGUGUCACCACAGCCACCUUCCUAGAAGUGCCAGAAGGGAAUAGCAUCUGAGAAUAGUAUCUGUGCAAGCUUGAACAUCUGUAGAAGCCUUGAACAAGAUCUUGUGUGGAAAGCCAUGAAGCAGGCUCCACUGCGUUACUGACUGUACCAACAUGUGGAUUUUGAUGACAACCUGAGGAUGAAGGAUGAUGUGCAAGAUGGGGAAUAUCUGGUGGUUUAGGCACAGUUCAUACAGAAUACAACUAUGUUCUGCAGCUGAUGAAGCAUUGGCACAGGUUGCCCAGAGAGGCUAUGAGUUCUCCUUCUUGAAGAUCUUCAGAAGCCAUCUGAAAGUGGUCCUGGGCAUGUUGCUCUGAGUGUCCCUGCUUGAGCAGAGGUUGGAACAGAUGGGCAAGAGUUUUCUUCUUGAGUGGAAUUUUGGUUCAGAACAGCAUUGCCUCCUGAUAAAUCCGAGUCCUUAGAUGAUCCCUCUUCAAGCAACCAAUUUGGAUAAAGUUGAGAAAGUGCUUAAGCGAGCCGAAGCUUAUCUCAUUUUCAACAGUCAAUUCAGAGUCUAAAGUCUCAUGGAAAAAAUCAGCAAAACUCAAGGCUCCUUAAUUAAUGAGGUGCUUUCAUAAAUUUUCCUCUUUGGUGGAAUUCUUUUCUGACAAGAGAAAAAUGUGGUGUUGAUGAUGUCUCAAGCCCUAAGAAGGGAUAAAAAAACUUGUACAAGGCUCUUCCCACACUCAAGGACGUUUACAUCUUUUUCAUCUGCUUGCUGUCUAGCACACUGAAGUGUCCUGCUACAGCUGGGGUACUCUCUAUCAGCUGGGAUCUUUAUCAUCUGGAAAAGUUUUACCAUUCUUCUGAUGGAAAACCUUUAUCCAGCCAUCAUGCAGAAAGGAUAUUUUAUGAUACUGCAAAGUGUUCUGCCAAAGCUUGUGCCAGAGUUGCUUGUCUUUAGAAGCUCAAGGGCACACAACAGCUUUUUGUGUGGGCCAUUGAGGAGAGCCUCCAUCUUCUCCCUGUUUUUUUUCAUUGUUUUCAACUUUAAAUCUCAAAGUGAAUAAAAAUUCUUCCUGAUCU